AUGUAACUAUUUUCAAAUAUUUCAGUGAGUUAAUUUGAUUAUAAAGAUACAACAACUGAGCAUUUGAGUGCCAGCAACCAGCUGCCAUGCCAUCAGUUGACUGCAAAGUUUACGUUGGUGAUCUUGGGUCAUCAGCGUCCAAGCAAGAUCUUGAAGAGGUGUUCUCGCAGUAUGGCCGUCUAAGCAGUGUUUGGGUGGCACGAAAUCCUCCAGGCUUUGCCUUUGUGGAGUUUGAUGACAGCAGAGAUGCUGAAGAUGCUGUCAGGGCAUUAGAUGGAAGGAGCAUUUGUGGGAGGCGUGUCCGAGUGGAGUUGUCUACUGGACGGUCCCGUGGAGGUGGUGGCGGUGGAGGAGGAGGAGGACGCUUUGGUGGAGGUUUGCGGGGGGGAGGAGGCAUGGCCCGUGGCGCCCACCCGGAGGACAAAUGCUAUCAGUGCGGCGAGCGUGGACACUUCGCUCGUGAUUGCGGCGUCAGCUCCCGGGGCAGCGCUGGAGGGGCCCGCCGGUCAAGGCCUCACGGUUGAGCACGAUAGCGCUGGUUUAGCCUGCCCUGCCUUCCUUCCAUCCGAGAAAGCCUUCCUUGUCGACUAAAUUUUGUCAGCAGUUCGUCUCGCCCACGAGAAAUGAUACCGACGAUCUCAAUUACCCACAAAUUGUUCUGCUGCUAAAUUUUACUAGCAGUUCUUACUUCUUGGGAAGAAUGACUCCUUUCUUCGAAAUCGAAACGUAUGUUGACUAAAUUUGGCCUGUGACUGAAUCACCACAGUGAAAAUACCUACAGAAAUUCUUCGCUCACAAAGCUUCGCACUGCAUAUAUCGUCUGGGGCGCCUGACUAUCUACCAUUCGUCUCGUGACGCCUCACUCACAGCCGACACUCAUUUCCUCUUGCAGACAACUAACAUGGGUUAUGUAUAACCACCCCACAUCAUUUCUCCCACGUCUUACCUCACCAACUAGAGCAACACCCAAACCAUGUCCAGUUCCUUGAUUGCUGGGAGUUGAUUUCUAAACGAAUUAUUGUUAACAAGCUACUAGUUUUUGAGUUCGUACAAUUGUGGAACCACUGUUUAUGCAAAAAUGGUCAUUUUUACGAGAUAUCUACCUUUAAAUUACGUACAAAAUUCUGGUUACUAUACUUGAUGAAAUAUUUGGUCUUAAAAUGUUUUGUUUAGGUCUUAACUCCUCCCAAACCUACCUCCCCUCCCUCAUCCCACCGUAAAUGAGGUUACGACUGCAUCCUGCGCAUCUGUUACACGAUUGCUUAACUUAGUUCUCAAUUGCGUAAAUGUCGUCAUAAUGAUUCAUUGGACAUGCCUUAAUAAUGCGAGGAAGUAGUUCAACAUUCAUAAUGCACCUGCGAAAGUCGUCGCUUUCUCGUUUUAUCAUUGUAAAUCUUUAUUAAGACAGAACUAAUUUUCUCGUUUCCCAUAAGUUUAGACCACAAGAUCUUUGUAUUCAUGUGAUAUUUUCAAAUCAUGAUUCUCAUUUUGAAAAAAAAUUCUUGUCAGUCAUCUUUCCAAGUGCUGAUGUGUCCAAUAGUAACCUAAUAACGGUUUGCAUCACAAUUCCUAAAUUAAAUCUCCUAGUCUUCGUUCUCAAUAUUAUAGGUGCAAAAACUUUCGACCAGCCGUAUGGAGACGCAAACUCGCUCUAGCAUUCGUACUCAGCCCAAACUCGCCUGGUCUUGAUUGAGGUUACCUAAUAUGAUUCAGUUCUACGCUCUCAAACUCGCCUUAAGACAAUUAUGAAGACCUUGUUCUACGCUCAAACUCGACCUAGACCAAUUGUGAAGACCGAGUUCAACGCUCUCAAACUCACCCUAGACCAAUUGUGAAGACUUAUUUCACCGAGUUCGACGUUCUCAAAUGUGAUCUCUUUCGACUGGUCCGUAUCCGCUGGGUUAAGUUGUUUACAGCGCUCUCAAUGCGACGCAGCUGCGUGCUAGAACUUCGGUGCUUGCUUGUAGUUCUUCAGCAGCGGUGCUGACGUCCGUAGAGUUCAUGCAAGGGUCGCGUUCGCCCCGACGUCGCCGCUCUGCGUCACGGUCGCGCUCCCGCUCCCGCGAUCGUCGGGACCGCAGCCGCUCCCGCUCCA
rnacentral:misc_RNA from 1 species